GACGAACGCUGGCGGCAUGCCUAAUACAUGCAAGUCGAGCGAACAGAUGGAGUGCUUGCACUUCUGACGUUAGCGGCGAACGGGUGAGUAACACGUAAGGAAUCUACCUAUAAGCGGGGGAUAACAUUCGGAAACGGGUGCUAAUACCGCAUAAUAUCUUCUUCCGCAUGGAAGAAGAUUGAAAGACGGCUCUGCUGUCACUUAUAGAUGACCUUGCGGUGCAUUAGUUAGUUGGUGGGGUAAUGGCCUACCAAGACGAUGAUGCAUAGCCGACCUGAGAGGGGGAUCGGCCACAUUGGGACUGAGACACGGCCCAAACUCCUACGGGAGGCAGCAGUAGGGAAUCUUCCGCAAUGGGCGAAAGCCUGACGGAGCAAUGCCGCGUGAGUGAAGAAGGCCUUCGGGUCGUAAAACUCUGUUAUAAGAGAAGAACAAAUUGUAGAGUAACUGCUACAGUCUUGACGGUAUCUUAUCAGAAAGCCACGGCUAACUACGUGCCAGCAGCCGCGGUAA
rnacentral:rRNA from 1 species